rnacentral:rRNA from 1 species
CUCGUAGGCGGCCAACUAAGUCAGACGUGAAAUCCCUUGGCUUAACCAAGGAACUGCGUCUGAUACUGGAUGGCUUGAGUUCGGGAGAGGGAUGUGGAAUUCCAGGUGUAGCGGUGAAAUGCGUAGAUAUCUGGAGGAACACCGGUGGCGAAGGCGGCAUCCUGGACCGACACUGACGCUGAGGAGCGAAAGCCAGGGGAGCAAACGGGAUUAGAUACCCCGGUAGUCCUGGCCCUAAACGAUGAAUGCUUGGUGUGGCGGGUAUCGAUCCCUGCCGUGCCGAAGCUAACGCAUUAAGCAUUCCGCCUGGGGAGUACGGUCGCAAGGCUGAA